rnacentral:rRNA from 1 species
GAUGAACGCUAGCGACAGGCCUAACACAUGCAAGUCGAGGGGCAGCACAAGGAGCAAUCUGAGGUGGCGACCGGCGCACGGGUGAGUAACACGUAUGCAACCUACCUGUAAGAGGGGAAUAACCCGUUGAAAAACGGACUAAUACCGCAUAACACUGUAGAACCGCAUGGUUUGACAGUUAAACAUUUAUGGCUUACAGAUGGGCAUGCGCAUGAUUAGCUAGUUGGUGAGGUAACGGCUCACCAAGGCAACGAUCAUUAGGGGUUCUGAGAGGAAGGUCCCCCACACUGGUACUGAGACACGGACCAGACUCCUACGGGAGGCAGCAGUGAGGAAUAUUGGUCAAUGGGCGAGAGCCUGAACCAGCCAAGUCGCGUGAAGGAUGAAGGUUUUAUGAAUUGUAAACUUCUUUGCAGGGGAAUAAAGUGUCCGACGUGUCGGAUUUUGUAUGUACUCUGCGAAUAAGGAUCGGCUAACUCCGUGCCAGCAGCCGC